CUGCUGCAGGAGAUGUGCAAUGCAAAGGAAGGAAGUGAAAGCUGAAUUUGAUGUUUUUCUGCAGGUGGAGGGAACACCCACAGCCCCCAGGAGGAUCUGCCCCGUGCCAGGGACUGGCUCAGCACCUCAGCUGCCAAGAUCUCCAUUAGGAGGACAGCUGGAUGUGGGGAUGAUGGCAAGGUGCUCAGCCACGAUGCUCACAGGUGACACAACAUCCACAGCACUCUCCUGGAACCUCAGCACGGAGAGCCACAGCUCUGCCCUCCCCAGCACGGAUUGAUCAUCACAGGUAACUGGAAAAUGUCUGAUCUGUAACCAAAAAUGUGACAGGGCUUCAAGGCCAGGAGAACUCACAGACAUUCCCAAGCAAAGAGAUCUUGCUCCUGGUUUCCAGAGGAGGCUGCAGAGCAGGCACUGUG
rnacentral:lncRNA from 1 species